rnacentral:misc_RNA from 1 species
UUCGCCGUCUUCGUUUCUCUUUCUUCGCGGACGAACACGCGCUGGGGCUGCAAGUUUGCAGAAUCCCUGGUCCUUAACAGGAUAUGCGUUAGGGGCUUGUAGCUCAGUUGGUUAGAGCGCGCGCUUGAUAAGCGUGAGGUCGGAAGUUCAAGUCUUCCCAGGCCCACCACUUUCAUCGAGUGAGCAUUCGUCUUCUGGUUACGGGGCCAUAGCUCAGCUGGGAGAGCGCGUGCUUUGCAAGCAUGAGGUCGUCGGUUCGAUCCCGUCUGGCUCCACCAGAUGGUUUGAUCACCGAGAUCUUGUACCGUCGUCCGCGAAACAUCACUUCGCACUUACUAGUCUGGAUAGACAGUAAGCUGCGUGAUUUCUGACAUCGUAAAGAGGAGAUCGAUCCGAGUUGGAUCGUGCGGCAAGCAAUUGCCACGCGAGACUUCAUUAUCUCCGGAUCAUUUUCGGCGCUCGACGCUGACCGCAAGGUUGGCUGCGAGUUGUAAAAUGAUCCUUUUAGCGAAGCUUGACCGCCUCGCUAUCGGAACGAUCUUACGAAGCAAGCUGGUCUUUCUAGUCAAUGUCCGGCUGUACGUAGCAUUCAUCGAGGGUGCGCGCCGCAAGGCAAUCGUACAGACAACAUUCUGCCGAGUGUGUGGACAUUGAUAAUGAGAGCAAUCAAGUGCCUUAAGGUGUUCGGUGGAUGCCUUGGCGCUGAGAGGCGAUGAAGGACGUGCUACGCUGCGAUAAGCCGUGGGGAGCUGCGAAGAAGCUUUGAUCCGCGGAUUU